CGUAAAGCGCGCGUAGGCGGUUAUUUAAGUGAGGUGUGAAAUACCCCUGGGCUCAACCUAGGAACUGCAUUUCAAACUGGAUAACUUGAGUAUGUCAGAGGGUAUUGGAAUUUCCCCGUGUAGCAGUGAAAUGCGUAGAUAUGGGAAGGAACAUCAGUGGCGAAGGCGAAUACCUGGGAUAAUACUGACGCUGAGGUGCGAAAGCGUGGGGAGCAAACGGGAUUAGAUACCCCUGGUAG
rnacentral:rRNA from 1 species